rnacentral:rRNA from 1 species
AUACGAAGGUCCCAAGCGUUAUUCGGAAUCACUGGGCGUAAAGAGUACGUAGGCGGUUUGGUAAGUCAGGUGUGAAAUCCCGAAGCUCAACUUCGGAACUGCAUCCGAUACUGCCAGACUAGAGUAAUGGAGAGGCAGGUGGAAUUCUCGGUGUAGCAGUGAAAUGCGUGGAUAUCGAGAGGAAGACCAAUGGCGAAGGCAGCCUGCUGGACAUUUACUGACGCUGUGGUACGAAGGCUAGGGGAGCGAAAGGGAUUAGAUACCCGAGUAGUCC